UGGGAAUGGUGUUUACAAUCUCAUUGUGCAACUGGGAGGUUACCCAUGGAAGAUCUUAGAUGCCACAUUAUAAGUUCACAUGUCCUCGAGGGGUAUCUGCAGAAAAUGUGAAGACCAGCAAAAUGACAGUGCCAAAAAGGCCUGUGACUAUUACAUGUCUGGCUCUUCCAUGGUCUGGAGAUUAAAUGCUGUUUGUUCAUUAUUCCUU